CGGGCCGUGGUGUAACGGUAACAUUCACGAUUCGGGUUCGUGAGACUCCGGGUUCAAAUCCCGGCGGCCCGA
rnacentral:tRNA from 1 species